rnacentral:rRNA from 1 species
UGCGGGGGGAGCAAGCGUUGUUCGGAUUUACUGGGCGUAAAGGGCGCGUAGGCGGCCAGCACAAGUCAGUUGUGGAAUCUCCGGGCUUAACUCGGAAAGGUCAACUGAUACUGUGCGGCUAGAGUGCGGAAGGGGCAACUGGAAUUCUCGGUGUAGCGGUGAAAUGCGUAGAUAUCGAGAGGAACACCUGCGGCGAAGGCGGGUUGCUGGGCCGACACUGACGCUGAUGCGCGAAAGCGUGGGGAGCGAACAGG